GAUGAACGCUGGCGGCGUGCCUAACACAUGCAAGUCGAACGGAGUCCAGCCUUUAAGACCUUCGGGUCAAAGAGGGGAAGACUGAGUGGCGGACGGGUGAGUAACACGUAUGCAACCUGGCUCAUAGAGGGGGAUAACAGAGAGAAAUUUCUGCUAAUACCGCAUAAGCACACACUGCCGCAUGGCAGAGGGUGAAAAGAGAAUCGCUAUGAGAUGGACCCGCUUCUGAUUAGCCAGUUGGCAGGGUAAGAGCCUACCAAGGCGACGAUCAGUACCCGAGCUGAGAGGAUGAACGGCCACACUGGGACUGAGACGCGGCCCAAAAUCCUACGGGAGGCAGCAGUGGGGGAUAGUGCACCAUGGGGGGAACCCUGAUGCAGCGACGCCGCGUGAGUGAAGAAGUAUGUCGGUAUGUAAAGCUCUAUCAGCAGGGAAGAUAAUGACAGUACCUGAAUAAGAAGCCCCGGCUAACUACGUG
rnacentral:rRNA from 1 species